rnacentral:ncRNA from 2 species
CGCUUUAAAAGGCAAAACCGUUGAAAAGCGGUGACGCAAAGCUUCCGGUCUAAGGUUGUUUGCCAACGGCAAACUAAACUAUUGAUAGCGGGGCUGCAGGC